rnacentral:pre_miRNA from 1 species
AAAAAGACAAACCUUGGUUUCCGUGCCCAAUGUUUGACUAUCCGUCUUAUUUGAAAAAAUUAUGAAAAAAAUAAAAAGACAAGUCACGCAUAAAAUAUUAAUCAUGUUUUAUCAUUUAACAACAAUGAAAAUACGAAUUAUAAAAAAUUUUCAUAUAAAACGGACAGUCAAAGUUAGACAUGGAAACCCAGGGUUUGCCUUUCU